GACGAACGCUGGCGGCGUGCUUAACACAUGCAAGUCGAACGCUGAAGCCCUUUCGGGGGUGGAUGAGUGGCGAACGGGUGAGUAACACGUGGGUAAUCUGCCCUGUACUUCGGGAUAAGCCUUGGAAACGGGGUCUAAUACCGGAUAGGACCUGUCCUCGCAUGGGGGUGGGUGGAAAGUUCCGGCGGUAUGGGAUGAGCCCGCGGCCUAUCAGCUUGUUGGUGGGGUAGUGGCCUACCAAGGCGACGACGGGUAGCCGGCCUGAGAGGGUGACCGGUCACACUGGGACUGAGACACGGCCCAGACUCCUACGGGAGGCAGCUGGGGGGAAUCUUGCGCAAUGGGCGAAAGCCUGACGCAGCAACGCCGCGUGGGGGAUGACGGCCUUCGGGUUGUAAACCUCUUUCGACAUCGACGAAGGGGCCCUGUUGUGGGGUUUUGACGGUAGGUGUAGAAGAAGCACCGGCUAACUACGUGCCAGCAGCCGCCGUAA
rnacentral:rRNA from 1 species